UGUGGCCAGAGCUGUAGAAUGAAGAUAUACAAACAGUGGUCUCUGGUCCCUGCUCCAGAGCACUAAACACAGGAUGAAGAAUGGCACCCGGUGUCACCGUGUCACGCAGGGCAGAGACCAGCCUUGGAGCAACCCGUGGUGGGGGCCAGAGCAGCGCCACGGCAGGGGGGAAGAGCCAAUCUCACUUCCGAUCCACCUCUGCCCCACGUGGUGAUGGAAAUGAGACAGAACUUGGGACAGGGCUGUCCCAGGGUCCCCACGAGUGGAAUGUUCCAUGUCCCCUAGAAAGAGGAGGGGAACGGAAGAUGGGGGGAUAGAUACCUCCAGGUCCAGUGUCCAAGGUCACUUCUGAAAUGUCCACAAUUAUACCUCCAGCCCCUCAGGAGAUGGAAAAUCACAGACCAACGGGGGCCCUCGGGCCAGGCCCCCCACCAGGAUUCAUUGUGUGAACAGACUCCUCCGUGGUCAGGUGAUCCUCGGCCAGCAGAGCCCAGUUCCAGCAAGAAUCCCGCCGGGCCAG